AGUACCAGCAGUGCCCCAGUCCCCAUAGUCUCCUGUUUCAGUCGUUAAAAGGCGAUUUUGACUCUCCCUUUGUAGAAAUCAUACAGCUUCUGUAUCUGAUCAGAAGGUCAACAACACAAUCAUCUGAUGUUAGGCUAGAGGUAAGAACAGCCGGCUCUGGGGUUCCCGGAGGAAGGAAUUGCCAAUCUCGCCUGAAAGAACUGGUGUGAAGCCACUGGCGGAGUAUCCAGGGGCCGAGGGCUGAUGCAUUUCUCCUCAUCCACCUCACUCUGACCCCGGAUGCCAGUUAACCCAGGAGAGGUCCCUGAACACAACCCCGAUGCAAGCAAAGGUGGUGGACAAUACGGAGGAGGAUGAAGAGGCAUGGUCCACCACAACAGGUUGCCCAGAGAGGCUGUAGAGAGUUUAAAAGGAAGGAGUGAGAGGGAUCACCAGACCAUGAAGCAUCCCCUGUGGGAGGAAGGAGGAGCUCAAGGUCAGGAGAGCACUGUUCCCUGGGAGGCAUGGAAAUUAAGGCUCAAGAAGGUGACUUGCCCAAGACUUCAUAGCCCACAACUGCUGGAGGUGGGAUUUGAACUCGUCUGCGAGGUUCGAAAUCACCCCAGCCCAGUGCCUGCUCCUGACAGAGACUCAGCAAGUGCAGCUCUGCGUGUUUCCUCCAUCACAGAGGCCUGCUUAGGGGAAAAAUCUUGCUGAAGAAAAGUGGCCGAUGGUUUCGAGAGAAGAGACGCUUAUUCAUGUAAUUCUCAAGAAUCCCAUCUCCGGCUUAGAAGGACACCUUUUCUGAUUUCCCAUUCAAAGGGACUGACGUACACUCAGGGGCUGAGGCAGCAGCUGUUUUUGCUGUGCACAGACUGGAGAGCGAUGUGUGAGUGAAGUCUGUGGCCACUUCUCUCCUCCCCCGAGCCUUCUGGGGUUUGGGUUUAUGACUCCAGAGGCGGAGAAGCGUGUUCCCUUUCUGUGCGGAUCCCGUCAUUGACAGAGUCUGUUUUAGAAGAGCAUUUUUAGAUGGCAGCGAACGUUCCAGACCCCAAAGCAUUCUCUUUACAGCACCGUCUAGCUUGGGUGGGGAUAGGGUGGGUUUGUGAACACGUGUGUGCGUGAGAGUGUGAGUGUGUGCAAGUGUGUGCACGUGUGUGUCAGUCCCUCUGUCUGGCUCCCACUGCUAGCCACCUCUGUCAUAUCCUGACUAUUUCGCCGGGGCAUCGUCCAGCCAUAGGAAUCUUCAGCAAACCUACAGUUCAGACGAACGCCCUCGUUUCUGCCCUGAGAAGAAAGUCCGUUGAGUCUGAGGGCUCCCGAGUCAUUCUCUCAAGGCAUUCAUUCAGUUUUGUUUCCCCUGGUGCUACCCUCUCUGAAGUCGUUAUUACUCAUUAGGUGUAUUGCACAUACAGAAAAAGUAGGUCAAGGAUUAAAAAAAAAAAGAAAAAACAUCUCUGGGAGAAGCACAAGUAUUGUGUAAAGCUAUUUUGAACUUGCGUGAGAUUUUUCAAGGGGGAAAUGUUUUGUGCAGAGACGGCUGCUGCCACAGCUGACUUACCAAUGAAUGCCCGUGUCUGAGCCUUUCAUACGCUAACCACGUGACCUUGGAAUUCCAUUUUGAAAUGAUAAUUGUGCCCAGUGGGGUGAGCAGCCUCUCAAUCCAGGUUCUAUACAAUAUAGGUCACCUCGAGGAUCCUCAGUAGAACAGGAACAAGAGAAUCCUGAGAAAUCUCUGUAAAGAAACAGAAAGAAUGAGAGAGAAAACUGUGUGUCUAACCACCGGGCCCCUGGGCCCUAUGUGCCACCCAGGUUUGGAGCAAGGCUGCGGGGCAGAUGAUGUCCAGGAGAGCCUCAGAAAGUCCGGGCUCUAGAAAAAAAUACGUUCCAGCUCACUCUGCUCUGACCCUGCAUCUGCUCUGUGCUGAAAGCUUUGUUGCUGCCAUGAAUAUAUUUAAGGGGAAUAAAAUGUGCAGUGUCAAAGCGACUGGCUUGAAGUGGGCUGGAUGCAUCCUAGGCUCCGCGAGGGAAAAGGCCUCUAGCUGGCAGUUGACAGAAGGGGGAAGGCAGUGAGGAGUGGGCCCACCCACGGGAGUCUGGGCAUGAGGCGGGUCCUGGUUCCCAGGCUGCCCCGUGGGAAUAUGCUCCAUGGGCUGGGGCUGCUGUGCUGGCUGCUCUUGCCCCCAGGGGGUCACUACGCUGGGCUUCUCCAUCAGGGCUAUCACGAUAUUGCCCAGGGUUUACAGGUUUA
rnacentral:lncRNA from 1 species